UGAGGGAUAGCUGGCAAAUGGGCACUUGGUUUUUUAGACAAGGUUUCUGUAAGGUUAAAAAAGGCCUGGAAGUCCCUUCUAUUCUUUUAGGCUGUAGCUCUAAUUUUCUUUUAAUGAAGACAAUCCAAAAUAGGGUAAAUUCAUUUUUAAAAUACAUAGUUUUAACAAGUGAAGACUUAAUGUAUAUGCACACCAAAAUACAAUGCAGUAUAAUAAGGCUAGGUAAUUCCAGAAUUUAUUAAAAGGUUAAUUCAUAUUACAUGACUACUGGUGGGCUUGUUAUGGGACUCAAGCCAAAAUUGCACAAGGAUCAUUUUACUUUAAUCUUGUCAGGCAUCUCUGUAUGUUUAACUUCAUCUGAAGAUAAAGGUGAAGCUCUUAAACAUAAAUUUGAGGUCCCAACCCAAACCUCCUGAUACGGUUUUGCUAUGUCCCCACUCAAACCUCAUCUUGAAUUGUAGCUCCCAUAAUCCCCAUAUGUUGUGGGAGGGACCUGGUGGGAGGUAAUUGAAUCAUGGGGACAGGUUUUUCCUGUGCUGUUCUCAUGAUAGUGAAUAAGUCUCACAAGAUCCGAUGGUUUUAUAAAGGGCUGCUCUCCUGCACAUGCUGUCUUAUCUGCCACCAUGGAAGACAUGCUUUUGCUUCUCCUUUGCCUUCUGCCAUGAUUACGAGGCCUCCCCAGACAUGGUUAUGGCAUAAAACUGGCUUUAAAGUCUUCAGGGUCACUGGCAGACAACAUCCUCAUCUGGUAUGGUGAUCCUUAAAACUAAGGAACUAAAGAUAGUCAUCCAUUCCUGUCUUCUUAAAUAGCCUCUUCAUUUUUCAGAAAACCAUAAAGGGCUGGGCACGGUGGCUCAUACUUGUAAUCCCAGCACUUUAGGAGGUCAAGGCAGGAGGAUCACUUGGGCCCAGGACUUUGAGACCAGCUUGGGCAACACAGCAAGACCUCAUCUUCAGAAAAAAGAAAAAAAAGAAAACCCUAAAGAUAGGAUCGCACUUGCUCUAUGAAUUUAGAGUUUUAAAUGGCAUCGUUUUAUGCUACGCAUUCUUUUCUUUUGAAGACAGCAGCUUUCCCAUGAAUGGCUUUUUAUAUUCCUUAUCCCGUUCUUGGAUCUCCUGCAGCUCUGGAGAGCACCCAACUUCAUGAUGUCACAAGUGAGCAAGUUUGAACCAUGAAAAGAGAAAAGCGCAUCUCGUUGUGGUAAUCUGUAAUUGCUUAUCCUGUAUGGCCUUUCCUACUGCGUCCCUGUUUCCUACAGAGUCAGCAAACCAAAGUCACCUCUCCCAGUCUUUUGUGGGGCCUCCCACAUUGAUAACUGGUACCUGCAAUCUUUCGUUGUCUUCUGCUCUCUGUGAAAUAAGCCAACCAAAAACUCAUUGGGGUGUUGGUACCAUAUAAACCAUGACCCCUCUGUCUAUUAAUCUGCAAAGAUUUUGAAAAAUAAAAGCCCACCUAUUGCUACUUGAGCAGAUUCCCUUCCCUAAUCAUACUUGGUUCUAAGAGACACUUUGCUCAGAGCAUGUCUGCAGGACAAACACUAUGCUGAUCUUAUUAAAACCCUUCCUGUCAGGAUGCAUUUUUAGUUGUUGACUGUAAGUGUUCCAGAAAACACAGAUUGUUCUACUCAUUACUCUCUCCCCUCCCCCUGGAUCAGCAAUGAAGCUGGUAGUGUUUUCCUAUUUCACAGCUUCAAAUAUUUGAUUUCUUGAGGCUAAUGAUUAGAUGCUCUUUGCAAUGAAGCUUUAAAAAAAAAAAAGCAAAGAAGCAGCAGCUUGAGUUCUAGAUCAAG
rnacentral:lncRNA from 10 species